CGGGUUUUUUGUUUUGUUUUGUUUUGUUUUGUUUUUAACUAGAGACAAGGUCUUGCUAUGUUGCCCAGGCUGGUCUUGAACCCCUUGCCUCAAGUGAUCCUUCCACCUCGGCCUCCCAAAGUGCUGAGUUUACAGGCGUGAGCCACUGUCCCUGGCCAAGCAUCAUUGAAUUUGAGGGGCUGAAACUUGGAUCCUGCAACCCAUCUUCAACCAAGUAAAAGACAAGCCCCUUCACAGCUUAUUACUCAAGUAG
rnacentral:lncRNA from 1 species